rnacentral:lncRNA from 1 species
UUUUCCGACCCCCACGCCCCUGGGAUGGUAAAGCUGCAGCCCACCUCGUUCUGGGGCAGAGUCUCCUUGCCUGCCUGCUUGCAUCGCUCACCAGCGUCCUAUCCUAACACCUCUGUUUCGUGCCCAUCACUUUGUCUCUCGCUGAAUUCCUUCUGCGUGGAGACAUAGAGAACCUCAACCUCAGUGAGUCCAGACGCAGGAGGAGAGCGUUUCCCAGACUCCUUGCCCCUGAGUGAGGAUACGUGCCUGGUUCUGGCCAAGGGGCUGUGGCUGAUACAGCAGGUGUCACUCUGAGUCAAAGCAAAGGAUGUGCAGACAUGAAGUCUCCACGCUCUCUCUUCUUCACCCCUUGUCUCAAGGUGUCAGAGGCACCAGCUUAUGAGGGAUGUAUGAUUGUCAGCACCUCCACUUUACAGAAGAGGACACCUGGGUAUGAUGAUAAGCUGCCCAAGGUCCCAUAUCUGGUGCUUCAUAAUCCUGGCAAAGCCACUAAGCUGAGCAGAGCUGCAGAAAUUCCCUGGCUUUCCUACUGGAAGAUGUCGAUCAAUGAGGGCGCUCGCGGCCUUUGAUGUUAGGCAUCCACGCCCGCUUCUGUAAAGACUUUCGGCUCCACAAGAGAACGGGAAGUCACUGUGAAGAAAGAGGCAGGCGAUGUAACCGGAAAAGCGCAGGUUUGAUGUCAAACAGACCUGCGUGGUUCCACCGCUUUCCGACUGUGUGACACCUCCCCCCACCCCCACCGGCCCAGUUGCUCUUUGAACCCAAGUCUUGGAAAAUGGAACCAAUAAUACCUGUUCUUCAAGACUGUUUCUGCUGGAAGCUCCAAGAUUCAUCUGAAGGCGUGAUCACAUCCUCAAUGUUGAGUGGACUAUGAACCGGCUGCCAGAGACAGGGUUCCAAGCCGGGCCAGGCCCAUCCCAAUGCCCACCCGAAAAGAAGGGACAGAGGAAAGAAAGAAACAAAAUCCUGGGGCUCCAUUGGCUUUCUUUUUGACUCCAGCUGAAGUUGCUGCAUAGUGUGGCCUUGCCAGUCCUCGCCUUGAAAAAUGAGCGGAGCUCCUUUCUUUAUGAACUUUGGUGACGUGGCAUUAUGAUGUUACGGCAGAAGAGAUUAAUAACAGCGCCUCGUUUCUGUUCCGCCACCAUUAGAGGGCUGGAAGCGACUGACGUGAUGGAUCAUCUAAUCCCACAGCCUCAUUUUGCAGAGGACCCCGAGCCUCGACUUGGCCAAGGUCACACAGCUGGGCCACACCCAUGGCGUAUGGUUUUCAUAUGGAAUUGGAGCUGCAGUUGCCGGCCUGUGCCACAGCCACAGCAAGGUAGGAUCUGAGCCAAGUCUUUGACCUACACCACAUCUCACGGCAAUUCCAGAUCCCUGGACCCACUGAGUGAGGUAAGGGAUUGAACACGCACCCUUAUGGAUACUAGUUGGAUCACAACGGAACUCCCUGAAAAAUCAAGGUCUUUAAAGCAAUUCAUCAACCCCACCAACAUCUUGGCAUAAGAAAAUUGAUUCUGUAAGUCAAAAGAACUUAUAACAUGGUAUAUUGGGAGGAUGGCAGGGCUUGGUAAGUGGUAGCAACGCAGCUGGUAGAUUUUUCUUUGUUGUGUCCUUGUCCUUACACUCUUUUUAGCCACAUUUUCAUUCAGGAUUCUUGGGUUGGAAGCAACAGAAAUGGACUCUUUUGGCCUUAAGCAAAAAGAAAAUUUGUUGAAAGGGCAUGGAGGAGUUCAUAGGAUUGACUAGAAGUUUGGAGAAGUAGGCUCAGGAGUCAAGGCAUUUAUGGAGGAGGGUAGGGUAGAGAGGUGAUAAAAAUAAUGCAACGGUCUUAUUUGGAAAUUGUACUGGCAUGUAAGAGUUUCAUCUUUCCUCCUCCCUUCCUCUCUCUCUCUUUCUGCCACUUCAUUCGAGAUUCCAAUUUCAGCGAAGGAGCAUCCAAUUGGCCUGUCUUGGUCAGAUUCCCACCACCCCCAUGGUUAGGGGAACACAGCAUAUUCGAAAUGGCAUUCCCACGAGGUACAUUCCAUGGAAAAGUAAUACCACAAAGAAAAUACGGACACAGUUAUCAAAGGAAGAUAAAACAGGUGCUGGGUAGCCAACAAUAGCCUAUUUCCACUAUAUCCUUUAAAAAAAAUCCCAGUAACUCUUCUAUGAUUACCGAUGUUUCAGGAGAGAAAUUUAACGAUGGAAGAGUGUAUACAUAGUGAUGAAAAGAAUGGGAGGAUUUAUAAGAUACAAGUCAUUUUCUUUGAGUUGUGGGACAAUGGUUGGGUCCAUUUUUCUUCUGUUGUUUUUUCCUAUAGAGCACAUUUAUAACCUUUUAAAAGUAAACUAUGUUUUCUACUUUAAGAUGAGUGAAAUGAGGGGGGAGUGUCCUUUUGACUGGGGACAUAGUCACUAGUUACUCUAUGUUAAUAACAGAAGCAUACAUUCCUCUCGAGGGGCAACAGUGUUCUUAUACAUUAAACUCUCAACAGAAACCAAAAGAACCACCACCAAAAAAAUCCCACCCAGUUUGGAAAGGACUUGUGCUUGUGGGUCGGGGGCAGAAGGAAGCAAUUUCCCUCCAUUUUCUGCCUGAGCAGGCCUUUUGCACUUUGAUAUUCGUUUCACUAAUAAGGUGUUUCAUUAUUUCUCCCACAAAAAGAGCUGGUGCUGUUAUGAGAUGCUGUUGAAGACUCUGGUUUGCCCAGAUGUGCCGCAGUGAAAACAGCCUUUCUCUGACGUGCGUGACUUGUGAGGAUGAUGGGACCUGUGGGAAGAGGGGAUCCUUUUUCAGAGUUUGGAAAGAGAGGCAAAAUAACGCCAUCUGCCCUGCAUGGCUGACAGAAACACGUUCUUCCCUAAUCAGUGGGUCACUCACUUCCGCACUAUGUUGCAGGGAAGCAUCAUCUGAUUCCAAGCCUAAGGCUGGGUCAUCCGCGGCACUGACUUCUCCCGACCCUUCUCCGAGCUUCCUGUGCCAGUUUUCAUCAUCAAAUUUCUCUGCUCCCUUGGACCAGCGGAAAAGAAGUUAUGAGCUCUCUCCAUCAUUCGCCGGUCUCUUCGGCCCUUCCUCCUUUGAAGUUUUCUUAUUCGGGGUCUUUUUUCGCUUCUUCUCCAUGUUUCAUCCUCUCUCACUGUAACCUUUUUAUCUCUGGAGAGUUCUCUCUGUGCCUCUGGGCCCUUCUCUUUCUAGUUGGUUCUCAGAACCCAUUCUGGGAUUCUAUUUCAGUCCAUCCGUCUCUCCAACAGACCACGGGUGAAACCAGGGCCGGUAAUCAGUCCCAGCUGCUGGAGGCGUCCGCUCUGGGUCGGCCCCACGUUUGUGGGCUGAUGUUUUGCUUCCCAUAAUGCUCUGGGAGUACUGCUGCUCAGAGCUUGGCUUGUGCUUUU